rnacentral:rRNA from 1 species
UACGUAGGGUGCAAGCGUUUGUCCGGAAUUAUUGGGCGUAAAAGAGCUCGUAGGCGGUCUGUCGCGUCGGCUGUGAAAACUCGGGGCUCAACCCCGAGCCUGCAGUCGAUACGGGCAGACUAGAGUGCUGUAGGGGAGACUGGAAUUCCUGGUGUAGCGGUGAAAUGCGCAGAUAUCAGGAGGAACACCGGUGGCGAAGGCGGGUCUCUGGGCAGUAACUGACGUGAGGAGCGAAAAGCGUGGGGGAGCGAACAGG